GGACAACUGCAAAUCUUCUCUGAAGAUGGCUUUCCUUUGGGGUGGAAUUCAGUUCUGGCAGUCAGACAUUCACAAGACAGGCCCUGAGUAAUGAUUAAAUGGAUUAUCUCUGUGAUUGGGUCUUGUCUGAGACCUGGGGGUAUUCCUUCAAAGUCCUGCAGUGUUUUAGGCCGCAGUUUCCCAAUAAGUUUGUUGUUCUUUCAAGAAAAAUAAUAUUCCAGGGAGUGGAAAAGGAAAAGAGAGAUGAAUGCUGCCAGAGGGGAUGAGGGUGAGCUCUAACAGCCCUGUCUUCAGGCUGUUCUGGGCAGUUCGUCCUUGUUUUAGGUCUCGGUAAGAGUAGCUAGGGCUUCCCAAGAAAUCCCAUGAACAGAGGAGUCGGACACAACUUAACAGCAAAACAAAGAGCCGCUAAGGGCUUCCCUGGUGGCUCAGUGGUAAAGAAUCCACGCGCCAAUGCAGGAGACCUGGGUCAGGAAUAUCCCCUGGAGAAGGAAAUGGCAACCCACGCUGCUGUUCUUGUCUGGGAAAUCCCAUGGACAGAAGAGCCUGGGGGGCUACAGUCCAUGGAGUUGCAAGAGUCAGCAUGACUGAGCAUCUGAACAGUGGCAACAGAAGUUAAGGCUUGCCAGCAUCUGAACUGCUCUCUCCAAAUUCAUUUUCGUGCCAAUGUCCUAAACCCUGUGGUUUGAGCCCAAGUGUGCCUCGGUCUUGCCCUGUUAUCCCGACUGGGAUUUUAGGACCUGCCCAUUGGCACAUCCUUCACUUCGAUGUGGUGCACCAUAGACUACAAGGGUUCAGGACCUGAAACCACGCUCACCAUCAGGGGAGACCCGGUCUCUGCUCAGCCGGACAUCCACGAAGAGGCCAGAGCUGUGAAUAAAGAGGCCUCUAGCAAUGAACAAUGCCCCCUGAAUUUCUGAGUGAAUUCACCCUCCUAUACACUUGCCCAGACCCCCCUGGCCACCCAGCCCGAGCACUGGACAGCAGACGAAACAGAAUUCCACCCCCUUCCUUUCCCUGCCAUUGCAGAGCAGGCUGGUAAGAAGGAGCCUGCCUGACCACCACAACUGUCAAUGGCAGAGGCUGCCUGUGGCCCGCCCCUCCUGUUAGCAGCCGUUGGCAGCCCCCCAAAUCCAAAGAGCAUCAGCCUAGCAGAUGUGGGGGAGUCAACAACUGAGGGUCACUGAUGCAAUGGAAGAGAAGUUUGGACAGCUAGCGCCUUUUACCUUAAUCUACCCUGGAUUAGGCUGACAUUUGAAAUUACUUUGGCUCCCUUCCACAUGGCAUAAAACCUAUACCAAGACUUCUUCUUAAACAUGAGAGCACAAACUUUCCUCAACCACCGGCUUCCCUAAUCUUUUAUGAAAAUGUGUCAGCUGUCCUGGCCUCCUUGUUCUAGCACUUCAUGCCCUGGGAUCAGGGAGCUGGAAGCUGCCUGCCUGGAAGGGGUUGAAGAGAAAGGACAUGCACCUCACAAGAGGCCAAUCUUUCCUUAAAAUGAAUUUGUCACUUGCAAAGUCAUCUGCUUUCUCUUCACACACAUCCAUCAUCCCCAUGAAAAUAUAAAUACAUAAUAGUUAAAACUCAGUAAAAACGUGGCCCAGCGUCACCAGGCUCACUUCACAGAAGGCACAGACUCCAUGGCUGCCCAGGUCACAGACCCAGCUCUCAGCUAAAGCUGCACCGUGCCUGGAAGGAAAGUUAUGUGACCUCUUCUUAGAGUUUUACAGCAGCAGCUUUCGUGAUAAACCCCCCAUAAAUAGAAAGGGAACCCAGAAGCAAGUUGGUGACUGCAACGUUUCUAGGAGUAUAUUAACCACCUGGGGAUGUAUUGACCGGGAAGUCGGCAGGAACGCUGUUGUAAAACUCAGCCGAGUCCCCAGGUUCUGUGCACACUGUCAAUAGUCCAUGAGGCUGAACUGAACAGAAUGGCAUCUUAUCGGGUUGUUUUGGGUCCAAGUUGUGGGCGUCCUGUGGACUCCGCGGGAGACCAGAGAUAUGGGAACGCUCAUUCAAGUGGCAGAUGUAACACACAAACAAGGAACUCAACAAAUCAGAAGUUGAUUCAGGGUCUACCCUCUGCAGGUCCGUGUUUUCCUCUCCACCGGCACUAUUUCUCUACGGUGAUGUCUGCUCUAUAUCAUUUCUCAAUGAGUCAUUUGAGUGUUCUGAAAAAGGACCCCGAGCCAUAGAAGGAAAAGCAUAAGGUCACCAAAGCCUGUGUCUCCUGGGCCAGGGCACAAUCAUUGCCUAAAAUACAUCUCUCGGUGCUUUGCCUGCCCUAGUUUUAAAUGCCAUACCCAUCAGCUAGGAUUUUUGCCCAUGAGCCCAGCCACACAGCUCCAAGGGGGGACAUCAAGGGCUUGGAACCAAAGGGGUAGCAACAGCUAUCCUUCCCCUCAAUCACAGCUCCCACACUUAAGAAGCCGGGUUCUUUGCCUUUCCUUGGCCUUGGCUUAAGGCCAUUAAUGAAGAUGUUAUGGCAAGUAGCCGGCAAACAAUAUUUUCAAGGUCAUGAGGAGGGAACGCUACGCUGCUAAUACCUCUGCCCGACAUGGGGGAAUGAGGCAGUCGAGUGCCCACGUACGGUUUGAGUCAUUUCCUCUGGGUUUUGGGAACUUCUCUUCUCGGACUCGGGUUAGGUUUUCACGCCUCCCCUCAGCCUGGCCCACUGCACAUCCGGGGCAAUUCCCAUUUGGAGGAUGAAGAACAUCAGAUUAUGCCUUCGUUUUUUUUUUGGCCAGUUUCUAGCAGGAGAAACAGCCGCUAAUUGCACCUUUGGAGGGAGAGACGGGUACACACGAUAAAGACAAAGGAGUCGUUACCAGGCUUGUUAGCCAGCCACCUCUCCAUCCUUGAAGCAUAACAAUGACGGGGCAAUACACACUGAGGUCAAGGCAGCUGACAGCAAGGGGAGCCCAGGCGUUCCCGCUGAGUUGGUUCCUAAAGGGCUGACCCUCAGGAUCUACAGCCUGGACAAGAGGCCCCUUCGUCCUUGCGGACGCAGGCGCUAACCUUGUUUGUGACCCCCUUGCAGACCGUGAGCCCCCUCCCACACCCCCUUCCCACUAGUCUCCCCCACCUCUGCAUUACAAGGAGCAGCCCUUUAUGAAGCCCCACUUGUCUUCCUUCCACACCAAACUGCAGAUAUCACAGCGUAACCCUGCAAAUUGCUUGGAUCAGAAGCAUUGAAUCACAGGAGCGAUUCAGGAUAAUGCUAUUUACGCCCAGAAAAUUGAUCCCGGGUUAUUUACUGUUACCAGCACUUCCCUUCUCCCCAUCUCUCACUGCAGGCCUGUCUCCGGUUCCCAGACUCCUAAUCAUUUCUCAGACAGAGUGUCUUGAAGGUGUCUCUGGACUGGAGCCCAGACUGGCCCAGCAGAGUGUGAAGGGGUGGAGGGAAACAGCUUCACAUUUCCCCCCGUGCUUGGCAGACAGGCUUGGCUCCCCCUGCCAUCCCAGCUGCAGUCCUUCUGGGGUCCAGAUCUGGCCUCCCCGAACCUCAGAACACAGGAGAGCCACAUACGCAUGUCGCCGUCAGUCUGCUGGGGCUGCAUCGUAGUCAGAUGACUUGCCAGAGAGACGGGUUAGGGAGAGCCACAGGUGUGGAGGAUUUGUACCUGGCCUCUGUUACAGCCUGCCCCAACUGUAAACAUUCAUGUGCUCACCAAACACUGAGAGGUGAAAAAGCACAGUGGAUUCUGAAGCCAGACUCCUGAGUUUGAAUCCUGGUCCUGCUGUUUCAAUAGUUGCAUAAUGUUGGGCCAGCUGUUUAACCUCAGUUUUCCCACCUAUAAAAUGGGAUAAUAAUCACACCAGUUUCACAGAGUUGUGAGACCAUCUAAAAACUAACACAUGUGAUGUCUGGCUGAUAUUUAUUACGUAUCAAACAUCUUUCACACUCCAGACACUGUUAAGGUCAGGGGUCAGCAAACUUUUCCUGUAAGGUCCAGAUAAUAACUAUUUUUGGCCUUGUGGGUGACAACGUCUCUGUCACACCUAUUCAACCCUGUGGCAAAGCAGCUCCAAAGCAGCCAUUGACUAUAAACAGAGAAGGAGUAUGGCUGUGUUCCAAUAAAACUUUAUUUAUAGACACAGAAAAGUAAAUUUACUAUCAAUUCA
ensembl:lncRNA